UCCGUGGACUCGACGGAGACGCUGGCGGCGUGCCUAAUACAUGCAAGUCGAGCGCGUGAAACUUUUGGAAGCCUUCGGGUGGAAGAGAGUGGAACGAGCGGCGGACGGGUGAGUAACACGUAGGCAACCUGCCUGUAAGACCGGGGAUAACUCCGGGAAAACCGGGGCUAAUACCGGAUAAUCCUUCGGACUGCAUGGUCUGAAGUUGAAAGGUGGCGCAAGCUACCGCUUACAGAUGGGCCUGCGGCGCAUUAGCUAGUAGGUGAGGUAACGGCUCACCUAGGCGACGAUGCGUAGCCGACCUGAGAGGGUGAUCGGCCACACUGGGACUGAGACACGGCCCAGACUCCUACGGGAGGCAGCAGUAGGGAAUCUUCGGCAAUGGGCGAAAGCCUGACCGAGCAACGCCGCGUGAGUGAGGAAGGUCUUCGGAUUGUAAAACUCUGUUGUGAGGGAAGAGCAAGUACCGUUUGAAUAAGGCGGUACCUUGACGGUACCUCACGAGAAAGCCCCGGCUAACUACGUG
rnacentral:rRNA from 1 species